rnacentral:rRNA from 1 species
UGGGGAAUUUUGCGCAAUGGACGAAAGUCUGACGCAGCAACGCCGCGUGGGUGAUGAAGGUCUUCGGAUUGUAAAACCCUGUCGUCAGGGACGAAGGUAGGGGGUUUAAUACGCCCUUUGCUUGACGGUACCUGGAGAGGAAGCCCCGGCUAACUCUGUGCCAGCAGCCGCGGUAAUACAGAGGGGGCAAGCGUUAUUCGGAAUUAUUGGGCGUAAAGGGCGCGUAGGCGGUUUCUUAAGUAGGAUGUGUAAUCCCCGGGCUCAACCUGGGAACUGCAUCCUAGACUGGGAGACUAGAGUGCUGGAGAGGGUGGUAGAAUUCCACGUGUAGCGGUGAAAUGCGUAGAGAUGUGGAGGAAUACCAGUGGCGAAGGCGGCCACCUGGACAGUAACUGACGCUGAGGCGCGAAAGUGUGGGUAGCAAACAGG